AUUGAACGCUGGCGGCAGGCCUAACACAUGCAAGUCGAGCGGAUGAAGGGAGCUUGCUCCUGGAUUCAGCGGCGGACGGGUGAGUAAUGCCUAGGAAUCUGCCUGGUAGUGGGGGAUAACGUCCGGAAACGGGCGCUAAUACCGCAUACGUCCUGAGGGAGAAAGUGGGGGAUCUUCGGACCUCACGCUAUCAGAUGAGCCUAGGUCGGAUUAGCUAGUUGGUGGGGUAAAGGCCUACCAAGGCGACGAUCCGUAACUGGUCUGAGAGGAUGAUCAGUCACACUGGAACUGAGACACGGUCCAGACUCCUACGGGAGGCAGCAGGGGGGAAUAUUGGACAAGGGGCGAAAGCCUGAGCCAGCCAUGCCGCGUGUGUGAAGAAGGUCUUCGGAUUGUAAAGCACUUUAAGUUGGGAGGAAGGGCAGUAAGUUAAUACCUUGCUGUUUUGACGUUACCAACAGAAUAAGCACCGGCUAACUUCGU
rnacentral:rRNA from 1 species